rnacentral:rRNA from 1 species
CGUGACUGGGGCGAAGUCGUAACAAGGUUUCCGUAGGUGAACCUGCAGAAGGAUCA